UCAUUUUGCUCAGUGCAGAGUGGCCAAAAGCAAGUUGUAUUGGGAAAAGGAGAAAAGAGAGGAGAGAAAGAAGGAAAGAAAAGAGAAAAAGCAAAAAGAAAAAAAGAGAAGAAAAAGAGAAAGAAAAAGAAAGAAAGGAAAAAAAGGGGUGGGGGAAGCAAACAAAUCAAAAAGCAAAAAAAGAAAACAAAACAAAACAAAAAAACCACGGGGGAGUAUCUUCUGAUUCUGUGUACUUUAAGUCCCUUGGCUUCUCCUGGAAGUUGUCCGUCUAGCUGGUGUUCUGGGGGAGGGGCCUGCUGUGCUGAUUUUCAGGUGUUAGCAGUUGGGGGGGCUGCAGUGCCCCUGCCUGGUGCAGGGCUCAGUGGGGGUUGUUUACCCCGUGAGGCCGCAGGAGGAACAGCCCCAGUGGCGGGGCCGCUCUGGAAACCUGGAUUCAGCUCCGGCAGGAACUCCGUCUGCAGGGCCUGGAGGCUCCGGGGCGGGGCCGCUGAUCUGCUCAGCUGGGGCAGGAGCGUCCUUGCUGUCCUGGGCCCUCCCGGCCUCUGCCUGUCCCGGGGGAGGCUGGAUCCUGGGCUGUGUCCCGGCGCCCUGUGCUACGGGGCCUGCGCUGGUGGAUUCGCGCUCCCGGGCCGCGCAACCCCCUCCGCGGAGCUGCCGCCCGAGCCCCUCCGAGCUGCUCCUGGAACCGCGCAGCCCCCACGGCACGGAGCCUCUUCUUCUGCCCGAGCCCCUCCGAGCUGCUCCCGGGGCCGCGCAGCCCCCUCCGCGGAGCCGCCGCCCGAGCCCCUUCAGCUGCUCCGGGUCCCGCCGGGUCCCGCCGUGCGCGCUGCAGCCCUUAGGGAGCUCGGCGCACUCUCCUGGGCGCGCAGUUGCUGUUACUGUCCCAGGGAGCCCGAGGGCAUCCCCGCCCUCCUGGGUCCUGCUCCAACUCCCCGCGAGCCCCUUUCCGCCCGGGAAGGUCGGUGCAGCUCCUGCGUCUCCGGGACGGGGCUCUCCUGUCCUGGGGACACUCGCCCCGGCCUCAGCCCGGCUCCUCGCGGGGCCCCUCACCCUUGGAGGCCUUUGUUCCUUUAUUUCUUUUUCCCCGUCUUCCUACCUUGA
rnacentral:lncRNA from 1 species